UCCUCUGUCUCGGGCGCAGUGCUCUCUGUUUUAAGCGUGAAUUUCAUCGACUGCAUUUUCCUUGUUUGAUUCUGCAUUUUCCUUGCAUUUUCCUUGUUUUAUUCUAUCAGUUUCUUCGACGUUUUGAAAUAUGCGAAAGAAGAUUGCACCAAAACGAGUAGAAAGAGAACCAGAAAACAGGGAUACCAAAGAAAAUAAAAGAAAAAAUGUAUCGAAAAAACUUCGAAGGAGAAGAAGUAGAGAAAGUGCUAUAUAUAUUGACACGAGAAGCGUACCAAACUUGUUAGCGACACUUUCUUCUGAUUAUUUGAAUGAUGCGCAACGCAAUGAAGUCCGAGCAAUGGGUUUUGGAUCUCUCUUGGGUAUUCCCAUUUCCUAAGAAGAAUUUAAACCAUAAUUUGAUUUUGGCUCUUGUAAAUGCCUAUAAUUCUUUCAAAUUUCAUCUUCCCACUCCAAUAGGAAAAGUAGAUGUUACUUGGAAUUCAGUUGCAGCUGUCUUGGAAUUGCGUGCAUACAGUAAUAAUUAAAAUUUCUUUAAGAUCCUUUAGUUUAUUAAUUAGGAUUGACUGUAUAAAAUCAAACAUGUUGUAUAACAUGUUUUAAGAUUCUUCAUUAUGUUGCUAUUAAAUUUGAUUUUUAAUAUCACUUGAUUGGUAUAGGAGUAUAACUAUAUAUUGAAUUUGAAUCUUGCAUUACUGAUGACUUGCUUGUUGAACAUUUUACAUAUUGAAGCUAUUGAUGUUAAAAAUAUCAUGUUAUGCUGAGUUUGAUUAUCAUGUUGACUACUGAGUUUGAUUAUACAUAUUUACUGAGUUUGAUUAUACAUGUUUACCGAGUUUGAUUAUAAUAAUGUUUCUCUCAUUAUUUUCUUUAAAAUAAGUGACCCAUUCAAGGAGGUAACUAAAGAGCAUGAGCCCAUGCUUUUAGAGUUCAAGAAAAAAAAAAGUCCAAAUGCUUUGAGACAAAUCAUGUUAGAAAAUCCAAGAGGGGGUCCUAGAUUUAGGAGAGCUUUCUUGUUGUAUACAUUGAUAACAUUUUUGUUAUCAAUAAAUACAACAAUAACUUGGGAUAAAAUUUUUCCAUUUGUAAUUGAUGUUGAUAAUCCAAUGAAGUAUAAUUGGAUUAGAUACAUUGUUGAUGGCGUUGCUGAUGGAGUUAAUAACUUUAAAGAAGUGGUGUCAAAUUUGAAUGGGUGCAUAUAUUUGCUUUAGGUAUUUUUUAUUUAAACUAAUUUUAAUCAAAAGCAUGUUUGAUUAUAAUAUAACUUUAAUUAAUUGAAUUCAGAUUUUAUACUUCCAUAAGCAAAUAUAUGGACCCUUUGAUUUCGAGAAAGAACCACAACCGCCUUGGCUUUUCCAUUGGACAAAGAAACUCAUUUCUGCCCAAAUAACAUUAGAAAGAAAAAGUUCAUCAGUACUUGCAUUGUCCGCUGUCUAAAAUUUUAUUUUCUAUCCAUAGUGAAUGAAUUUUCACUAAUUAUGCAUGUCUUAUAAGGACUGGUUAGGUCAAAGGAAGAGCAACCUAUGCCUAAAAGGCCAGUUCGACCUAAGAAAAGCGUUGUGAAAGAGGCUACUAAAGUGGAAAAAGAGCAAAGUGAAAAGAAAAAAGUGGUAGACAGCCCUAAGAAGGAUAAAAAAGAAUUGAGGCAAGAAGAUUCUGCAAAAUCAACCAAAGUGAAAAAACAACAAAGUAAAAAGAGAAAAGUGGUAGACAGUCCUAAUAAGGACAAAAAAGAAUUGAGGCAAGAAGACUCUACAAAAUCAAAGAGAGAAAAGAAGCAAGAAGGAGGAGCAAACAUAAGUUCCAAUGAAAAGUUAGUUUGGUAUUCCCAUUAUUCUCUGUUUUGACUUUUCAACACUCAUGUAUACUACAUUCACUUUCGUACAUGGUGUUAAAAAUUAAUAAUUACUUGGUUUCUUUGAUUAUACUCUGAGUUUGAUUAUACAUAUUUUUAAAGUUUGAUUAUACUCAGGUUUAGUACUAUAUUUGACUAUUGAGUUUGAUUAUAUAUGUUUACUGAGUUUGAUUAUAAUCUGAGUUUGAUUAUACAUGUUUACCAAGUUUGAUUAUAUUCAGGUUCAGUGCUAUAUUUGAAUGCUAAGUUUGAUUAUAAUCUGAGUUUGAUUAUACAUGUUUACCGAGUUUGAUUAUAUUCAGGUUUAGUGCUAUAUUUGAAUGCUAAGUUUGAUUAUAUGUGUUUGCUGAGUUUAAUUAUGCUCAGGUUCAGUGCUAUAUUUGACUACUGUGUUUGAUUAUACAUGUUUGCUGAGUUUGAUUAUAAAUGACUAAUGAGUUUGAUUAUCCUUCCCAUAGUACAAUCUAAAUCUUCAUGAAAUGUAAAUCGCAAAUAUGUUUCUAGUUUGAUUACAUCCUUGCUUUUCCGUGCAUUAUCCACAACCGGAAUGAAAAGAAAACACACUCACCAUCAAUGCCUACCUUUAACCUUGGAGUUGAAUUUCCUCUAACACCUCCAGCACCUCCAACACCUCUAACAACUAUGACCUUGGAUUCAAUUGAUGUUCCAACCCAACAAGUGUUGGGUUCAAAGAUACCAUGCCUAAAUCAAACAACAGAUGUGCCAAUAGAGGUGUCAGAACCAAUUGUUGAGGAAUUAGUAUUGAAUGUUAAUAUGACUGAAAAAUUAUACGAGUGGGUGAUGGACGAAAGGAAAGAUGAAGAGAAGAUUGUGGCAACAUUUAGUGACCAGUGCAAUGUCUUUCUUAAAAGGACUAAUGCGCAAACAUUAAAGCCACGAAAUGAAAUAGAUAAUUGGGUUAGUAACACAAAAUAUUUUGUUUAGUAUAAAGUAUUUAUUUUAUUCUUGAAUUAUUUGAUUAUUAAUUGUUUGCUUUGCUUGUAUCAAGGUGGUCAACUAUUAUUGAUGCAUGCUUAAUGAGUUACCACAAACAAGAUUCAAGAAAGAUAUAUAUAUUUCAUGAAUUUAGACCCAAUGGUAAGAAAUUUUAUUAUGUAUCUCUUCGUUUUUUUAUUUGACAGAUUUUGUUCUAUUCUAAUUUAUGAUCAAUUUGAUUUUAAUUUCGGUUAUUGAGUUUUUAUAAAGUUGGGUAAGGUGAGAAGAGCUCUACAUCAGCUGACAUAUCUAGGAUCCCUAAUUUUAUCAAAAUUAGGAUGCGAGGAAGAAAACUUAUUUUCUUACCUUUUUGCCAUAACCGUCAUUAGUGGUUAUAUGCAUUAGAUGUUUGUAAUAACAAGUUUUACGUCCUUGACCCGUUGUACACAUCGUAGACUGCUGAACAGGAUGAAAUAGAUCAAUAUGUUGUAAGUUUAUUUUGUUAUAACAACUUUUAUUUAGGUCUUGAUAUUUGAUUAUCAUAUAACUUUGACAAUUUCAUGACAUUUUUUAGCAGGCAAGUUAUCUUGACAACAUGUUAGGAAUUGCGGAUCCUACAUAUGUUCAAACCCCCCUCAACUCCAACAAUUGAAUAUUUGGACGUACCCAAACAACCAAAUUUGCAUGAUUGUGGUUUGUUUGUAAUGAA